AGACACACUUACCACAGCCUACAACUAAGACGGCUAAACUACGACACACUACAAACAUCACAGCAGGAGCCUUGGGGAACCCCCGGAACACGCAGCAGCCCUGGCGGAUGAGCCGAGGACCCGGAGGGGUCUGCAGACCAGGUUCCCCGUCGGAAAUCCCACUCCACAGCUGAAGAAGGGAACAAACUUGCCUGACCGACUGCCACGCGGGGAGCCAACUUCCUCGUCACCAGCCCGAGAUCCUGAAGAGUGUGCGUUUGGUCUCCUGGACUGGGUGAAGCCAAAGGAGGAGCUACUCUGGCCCCAGGCUGAAAGUUCCACUAAGGAAUGACAGCCAAGAAAAGCCCCUUCCCCUCGAACAGCGGGUCAUUUGUCAAUGGUUCGAUGAGAUGGACCGGUUUCAGGUCAGGGCAGGUCAAACCGGCGGCCGACUGGGGGAUGCCGUUUUUGUCAAUCAAGUGGGACAAGCAAGAAGAAAGUAAACAGGUAGCAACACCAUGAACUGGGAGAAAAACCAAGGUGCGUGGUACGGUCCAUCCCGUUCAGGAGUGUGAUGAAUGUCCAUCAAAGUAGAUGCAGACAGAGAGAGAAAGAUGAUGAGAGUGAAGGGGGGGCAGAAUAGCGGUGGCUGCUUCAGCCACUGAAGUUCGGCGUGACCCAGACUUAUUCCGCUCUGUGUCACGCAUGUCCACUGGCUACAGAGUCUAUUCCCAAAGGCGUAUGGCCAGUAAUUAAAUAACGACGCGUUUUCCGAGGAGCCUGCUUCCCUGCCUUUGGCUCCCAUGCCCAGUUUUGGCAUGUCAACAGCCUUCUCACACAUUUCCAAAGACAUCUCCAAAGCCUCCCAGAGUUCAGUUCUCUUUGUUUUUCCUUCUUUGUCAUUUAUAACAAAAAAGUCGAUGUCUUCUUUAAAUAUAUCUAUAUCUGUAUACAUGUUUUUUUUUUCACAGUGGGCAAAAGGAUGACCUCUACAGCAAAACCUGCCUUCUUUCUCUUUGCAAAAUGUCCAUAAAAAUCAAGUAUCCCGAUGAAUGUUGUAUCUCAGUUGUGUCAUGGUGUGCCACAAUAAAUAUACACUUGUCAGGGGCACCAACUGAAAUCCUUUUAGUUUUCAACUGCAUUAUGCUUUGGCCACAUUCAUAUAUAAUGAAAAAACUGCUCAGUGCUUCAGUUCUGCUUUGUCCUCCACAUGACUUAUUGUGACUCUGAAAUCUUCACCCUUGUUACUGACGAGCCAGCUUUGCAGUUCUGAAUGUUUUGGUGUGAAAUAAAAGUGGAAAAGAGAAUACAAAGUACAAAAACUUAAACCGACAUUGGCUCUUAGGAAACACGCACAUAGUCCAUGCUGGCAAAGUUGAUUGUGAGAGCCUUAACUUCGCCCCUCACGAGAGCCCAUCAAAUAAAGAGAACACUUUGGAAGCAAAAGAUCAAACAGACAUCGAACAUAGGGACAUCCUUACACCAUAAAGUGGCUCGGUCAUAGAAUACGAAAAAACUAAAAAUCUGUGAUUCAAAUUUAAAGCUGGUGUUAAAAACGUUAAUUUACGAAUAUGAGAGAGAAAACAAAUUAAUAUACAGAAAAUAAAAUAACAUACAAAUAGUUAUAUGAAAAUAAUAAAUGUCUGACAUUAUCUGAAAUGAAAGUCAAAGCAAAAGCAUUCAAAAAUAAACUAUACAUCAGGUUCUUAAAAAUAAUUCUGAACAAUAUUUGAUGUAACAAGACUGGAGAAAAGUGGCAAGCUUGCAGACCAGACCAACCUAAUUCCAAUAGCAUGCGCAAGUAUUAACACCAAAUCACAUUGCUCUGCAAGACAACACUUUUAACACACUUCUGAGAUUGCAGCAAUGUCUUAUGUAGGCCAAAUACACUCGCUGUACAUCUGUGGCCAACAAAAAAAGGGUUAUUCACAAAUUUGAGUAAUUCCUUAAGUUUUGGUAAGGACAUUAGAAGAUAAAAUGGCUGGGGACAUUUGGAUUAAACAUAACUAUUACCAUUGCAAUGGGCUGGAGUAAGUGACCUCUUUGGACAAAAAGGCAGAAACAUACCGUGUCAUCAUCCAACACAAGGGACAUCCUCAAACAAACAAACAAGAAGAACAAAAAAGAACAAGACAAAACACCCCCUGUCUUCUCCAGUCUUAUAACACUCUGGAAUGAAGAUGUCCCUUGGAAACCUGUUAUAGACACAUCGUGCAUGAAAAUGGCUUUACACCCUGCAGAAAUCUGGGGCAAGUACCUGCGUGAUUUUUCCAGGAGGGGAGGCAGCCUCGCCAGACUUUACGAAACAUCCUUCAUUUCCUUCUGAGACUUGUAAUAGACGGAAAGGCGUGAUGACACUAGACCGGUGAAACGUGUACAUACCAGAUGUGUUACAUUAUGUACAUUUUUGGUAACCACUAUUACAUGAUGAUUUGUUUCGGAUGAGUAAAAAAGCCUUCGACUGGCUGCUGGGACCGUAACCUCCCCGAACCUCUUUGACGAACUGCGUGGAGACGCUAAGUUAGCAAUGAUGGCAGAAUUCUAUGACAUCUUACAGUCACCUUUGAGAUGAGAGAAAAUAGUUGUACUCAAAUUAGAUGAAAGGAGGUUGUCCUUGCUUAAGAAAUCAAACUCUGGUGUGCCGUUUGGAAUGCACUGUUCUUUACAAACAUAACAGAUCAUGGGCUUUUGACAUUGGUCUGUGAACAACAAAAAAAACCUUUUCCUUUGGAACAUAUAUUCACAGUCUUCAAAGUUUCUGUUUUUGCAACCAGAAGAAGGAAAAAAAAAAAAACGUUGCAGAGGCAAGGAAAUGGUAAACUAGUUUUUAAUUUUGUUUUGUUUUGUUUUUGUUAAAGCUUAGCCAAAAAAUCAAAUGAGCAUGCAUCUAGGUUUUCUUUUUUUUUCCCCAAAAUCUACAUUAGCAGCAAAACACAUGUCCUUAAAGACCAGACCUUAUGGAUUUCAAAAGAAAAAAUAAAAUCUCAUUUGUGACUGAAGACUUAACAAAGACUCUUAUCUUCUAUCUUACAAACUGCAAUGGCUCUGUAAUGGUGCUACUCCACAAUGCAGGGACAAAUGUCCUUUUUUGGUUUUUGGUAUUCUUGGUAUUUUACGUAAAAAGCCACCUGUCUGCUUGCAAAGAAGCCACGACGGCAACUCUGAUGCGUACACCUUUUAUUUUAAAACUUUGUUUUCUUUCCUUAAAAACAGCAACAAAUUCUCAAGUAUAAAGAAGCCUCUUUUCUCAUCUUUAUGCACCAAUGGUGAAAGUGUUUAGUCUUUGGAUUUUCUUUUCAUCUUAAAGCGUGAGAAUUAUUAUUAUUCUUUUCAUUUUCAUUUAUGACAACAACAAAAGAGCAAAAAUAAAAUAAAAGCCAAUAACAGACUGCAGCUACACUGCAUGAAACACAAAUAUCUGCUUUGCAGUGCUAAAGGAGAGGAUCUCCAAAUCUACAAACGCAGGAGGAGAACCAAAGAAACCGCAGAGGGGAGAAACCCAGAAAUACAGAGAAAAAAGGGAAGUCAGACAAUUGGAAGUGCACGACAAAGUAACACAAAUAUAAUUGAAUAAUAAUUUUCAAAACACACCCCAGAUUUUCUUUCCUUUUUUUGGUCAGUGCUGCACCAACCAUCAAAGGAGAGGAAACCCUGACGAGAGAAGAGGGAAGGGGGCACUGCCAAGUCUGUAGGUGGCAGCUGGGUGAAAACAAUCCAUGGAGCUGUGAAUCUGACAGAAAUAAAAGAAUAGAUCAGUUUCCGUUCCUUAACCUAGUCUAUUGGAAUGACCAAGACAACAUCAAAUGAAGCGUCUUAAGGUUGGACAAUACAAAAGCUAAAUGUACACAAAGAUUUUUCAAAUCUACCAUACUGUUUAAAUUCAUUUCCAAUGCAACAAUCUACUUAACACCAAAAAUGUUUAUAUCUAUCAUAAAUACAGAAAGUUUUUUUCUUUAAAAAAAAAAAAAAAAAAAUGUUUUUUAUAUCCCUCACCGACAUGUCUGCAAUGCUGUUCGUGUCUGGGUGUAGUGGGAUCACUUAUUCUCCCAUUUAAAAGAAUUUAAAAGGUUUAGAACUAGCAGUUCAGCUACCCCUUUGAAUGCCCAGAAAGCUAUAUCUUUAAGUUAGUAUCACUUCCAAAUACCUUCUGCCAGUAAAAGUAACACAAAACAGAAAUGUUUAUCAAUUGUUAGGAACAAAAUGAAUAAAAUAAUGUUUUUUAUGUAACAUAAAAAAGGUUGUGAGCUGUUGACCUGAGAAUAAAAUAGACAUUACAUUAUUCUUUUUUUCUUUAGCAAGCCAUUGGUAGUUGAAUGCUUAGAUAGCAAGAAAACUGUAAGACUAUUCUCCCAUACAGUACAUACUGGCUUAGUGUGCUCUUAGGUGGGAAUACUUAUGCAAAACAAAAAACAGCUUGUUAUCUGGUUUUCGGUAUUAACAGGAUCUGGGGCCAUUAAACUUUCAGGCAGUCCACUGCGAUACAGUACUUGCCUAGCAUGUCCACAUGCUAACCUCAGUGUUUUUCUUUAUUAAUUCAAAUAUAUAUGAAUGUGUGUAUGUAUGUGUG